UGCCAGCCGCCGCGGUAAUACGGAGGGGGUUAGCGUUGUUCGGAAUUACUGGGCGUAAAGCGCGCGUAGGCGGAUUGGAAAGUUAGAGGUGAAAUCCCAGGGCUCAACCCUGGAACUGCCUUUAAAACUCCCAGUCUUGAGUUCGAGAGAGGUGAGUGGAAUUCCUGGUGUAGCGGUGAAAUGCGUAGAUAUCAGGAGGAACACCUAUGGCGAAAGCAGCUCUCUGGCCCGAUACUGACGCUGAGGCCCGAAAGCGUGGGGAGCGAACAGGAUUAGAUA
rnacentral:rRNA from 1 species